rnacentral:lncRNA from 1 species
CCUGGGAUCAGCUCUGCCCACAGCUUCCAUUCUAGGUCACACGGAGGCUGCCACAGGGCCGUUUGAUGGCCAGAGGGUCCUGUCACCACCAUCCCACCGUCCCACCAUCCCCGUCAGGAAGCAAAGCACUUCCGUCCACUCCAGCUGGCCAGUGUUCCGGGCCACGAGCUGACACACGACAGCACCAUCCAGCAAAACCACAGGAAGACGAGAAAUUCAGACUGUCGCUCAGCCCACAGAAGACGCUCCGCUGGACCCAGAGGUCCCACAGACACCUACACCUGGCGCAGGAGCAGAGGGAACAUGGCAAACAAAGAAAGUCUUCCAGCACGUGUCCUGGGUAGAUAUCGGAGAGGGCCGCCUGAGACCACAGUCCUGGUCACCAGCUUCCCCAACCCAGGGCCAAGAGUCUAUGUGGAGCCAGAGGGAGAUUCUCCAAAGAAUAUGGGUGACAAUCUGGGAAGGGCCGAGCACGGCAGUGGGAGGCCAUGCCAUGCAUGUCACAUGGGCGUGUGCACAGGGAAGUUUUUAAAGGCAAAAAAAUGAGGAAGAUCACAUAAGAUAUUUUGAAACACCAAUCUUUGUCCACAGGGAUUGAAAACAAGGGCAGUGCUAGCCCAUGGUUGAACACACCCUUGCUGGGCACCUGUCCCCACAGACUGUGGGAUGGAACUGCUGUGGCCUUUGUGCACAGUUGAGGUUCGAGCAGAGGCUUUGUGAUGGUUACUGUCACCAGGCAAUUUUGCCUCGAGAACCCUCUCUUCCUAACGGAUGGGUAUUUAUGUUUGGUUAGGGUUGACACCAGAGACUUGGUUUCAAUUCUGACGACAGAGAACAGAAGGUAGAGUAUCUCAGAAAGAUUCUCCCACAAGACCUGAAGCUACCGAGGCUCAUCCACUCAGAGAACCUGAAACCCAGGAAACGCCAGAGCUUCUCCUUGGCCCUGUACCGGGGAGACCUUGCUGAGUCUCUGGCAAGGGGCAGAGCCACAUCCCUCAUCUCUCCUCAACUCCAGCUGCUUUUGAGCAAAGCUCAAAGUCCAGUUAGUCCAGGGUCCUCAGUUGCUCUGGGUGCCACAAAGACCCUGAUGUUACUGCAUCGGCACCAGCAGUGUGGAUUGUGCCAGGGGAUCUGGGGGACUGUGCCUGGGCAGAAGCACCUUCACCUUCCAUGGUGAGGUGGUGGUGGGGGGGGGCUGAGGGUUCUUCUGAAUCCACACCCUUGGCCCGUUUAGACCCCAUCUGGUCAUUUCCUACUAAGAUGGCCACAGCACUGGACAACCUUUCCCUUUUAAUCAAACUAAAC